rnacentral:rRNA from 1 species
CACGUAGUUAGCCGGCGCUUCUUCUGCAGGUACCGUCACUUGUGGCUUCUUCCCUGCUGAAAGAGGUUUACAACCCGAAGGCCGUCAUCCCUCACGCGGCGUCGCUGCAUCAGGCUUUCGCCCAUUGUGCAAUAUUCCCCACUGCUGCCUCCCGUAGGAGUCUGGGCCGUGUCUCAGUCCCAGUGUGGCCGGUCACCCUCUCAGGCCGGCUACCCGUCGUCGCCUUGGUGAGCCAUUACCUCACCAACAAGCUGAUAGGCCGUGAGCCCAUCCAAGACCAGUAAACCCUUUCCACACACCACCAUGCGGUGACAUGUAGCAUCCAGUAUUAGACCCAGUUUCCCGGGCUUAUCCCAGAGUCAAGGGCAGGUUACUCACGUAUUACUCACCCGUUCGCCACUCAUCCACACCAGCAAGCUGGUGCUUCAGCGUUCGACUUGCAUGUGUUAAGCACGCCGCCAGCGUUCGUCCUGAGCCAGGAUCAAACU